GAAUGCUGACAUAAGUAACGAUAAAGCGGGUGAAAAGCCCGCUCGCCGGAAGACCAAGGGUUCCUGUCCAACGUUAAUCGGGGCAGGGUGAGUCGACCCCUAAGGCGAGGCCGAAAGGCGUAGUCGAUGGGAAACGGGUUAAUAUUCCCGUACUUGGUGUUACUGCGAAGGGGGGACGGAGAAGGCUAUGUUGGCCGGGCGACGGUUGUCCCGGUUUAAGCGUGUAGGUGUGUGUUCCAGGUAAAUCCGGUUCACUUUAACACUGAGGCGUGACGACGAGGCACUAC
rnacentral:rRNA from 1 species